AACGAACGCUGGCGGCAUGCCUAACACAUGCAAGUCGAACGAGACCUUCGGGUCUAGUGGCGCACGGGUGCGUAACGCGUGGGAACCUGCCCUUAGGUUCGGAAUAACUCCCCGAAAGGGGUGCUAAUACCGGAUAAAGUCUUCGGACCAAAGAUUUAUCGCCUUUGGAUGGGCCCGCGUUGGAUUAGCUAGUUGGUAGGGUAAAAGCCUACCAAGGCGACGAUCCAUAGCUGGUCUGAGAGGAUGAUCAGCCACACUGGGACUGAGACACGGCCCAGACUCCUACGGGAAGCAGCAGUGGGGAAUAUUGGACAAUGGGCGAAAGCCUGAUCCAGCAAUGCCGCGUGAGUGAUGAAGGCCUUAGGGUUGUAAAGCUCUUUUACCCGGGAUGAUAAUGACAGUACCGGGAGAAUAAGCUCCGGCUAACUCCGUG
rnacentral:rRNA from 1 species